rnacentral:misc_RNA from 1 species
AAUGGCCGCCCAAACUUACUUUCAUCUUCACUCUCUUCGAUGUCUUCCAGUUCCACUCAAGAUCCAAAACCCACAAAAUCAAACCCAUCGUUUCAAACGAAAUCCAGUCGUCUGCAAGCUUCGAGUAGCUGUAAUCGGCGGCGGUCCAGCUGGAUCUUCAGCUGCAGAAGCUUUAGCCACCGGCGGAAUCGAAACUUUCCUCUUUGAACGAAGCCCAGCUACAGCCAAGCCAUGCGGCGGUGCCAUUCCACUAUGCAUGCUCGACGAAUUCUCAAUACCAUUAAAUCUCAUCGAUCGCCGUGUCAGUCAGAUGCGAAUCGUUUCUCCAUCAAAUCUCGUCGUCGAUUUCGGUAAAACCCUAAAACCCCAUGAAUUCAUCGCAAUGCUCCGGCGAGAAGUGCUCGAUUCAUUCCUCCGGCAGCGGGCUGAAUCUAGCGGCGCCAAUCUUCUCAAAGCACUGGUCACCAACCUCGUGGUCCCCACAUCCUCACUCGAGCCGUACGUCAUUCACUACACCAUGGAUAACUGCCAGCAUCAGCUCGCCGUCGAUGCCAUCAUCGGCGCCGACGGAGCCAAUAGCCGUGUAGCUAAAUCGAUCAAAGCUGGAAAUUACACUACUGCCAUUGCUUUCCAAGAGAGGAUCAAAUUACCCGAGGACAAAAUGGGGUAUUACGAAAAUUUAGCUGAGAUGUACGUAGGGAAUGACGUGUCGCCCGAUUUUUACGCGUGGGUCUUUCCUAAAUGUGACCACGUGGCAGUGGGGACGGGCACGGUCUGCUCAAAGUCCAAUAUCAAAUCAUUUCAACAUGCUAUCAGAGCACGGGCCAAAUCAAAAAUCGAAGGAGGGAAAGUAAUCAAAGUAGAGGCUCAUCCCAUACCAGAGCAUCCGCGUCCCGUUAGGGUCCGUGGACGGGUCGCUCUAGUAGGGGACGCAGCCGGAUACGUAACAAAAUGUUCGGGUGAAGGAAUAUACUUUGCGGCAAAAAGCGGAAGAAUAUGUGGGGAAGCAAUAGUUAAGGCUUCAGAGGGUGGAGAUAGCAUGAUCAAUGAAGACGACCUGAAGAGGGAAUAUUUAAGGAAGUGGGAUGACAAGUAUUUCACUACAUUCAAGUUCUUGGAUGUGCUACAAAAAGUGUUUUAUGGUAAUAACGCAGCAAGAGAAGCAUUGGUGGAGUUGUGUGGAGAUGAAUAUGUACAAAGGAUGACAUUUGAUAGCUAUUUGUAU